GACGAACGCUGGCGGCGUGCUUAACACAUGCAAGUCGAACGGAAAGGCCCUGCUUUUGUGGGGUGCUCGAGUGGCGAACGGGUGAGUAACACGUGAGUAACCUGCCCUUGACUUUGGGAUAACUUCAGGAAACUGGGGCUAAUACCGGAUAGGCGCUCCUGCUGCAUGGUGGGGGUUGGAAAGUUUCGGCGGUUGGGGAUGGACUCGCGGCUUAUCAGCUUGUUGGUGGGGUAGUGGCUUACCAAGGCUUUGACGGGUAGCCGGCCUGAGAGGGUGACCGGCCACAUUGGGACUGAGAUACGGCCCAGACUCCUACAGGAGGCAGCAGUGGGGAAUAUUGCACAAUGGGCGGAAGCCUGAUGCAGCAACGCCGCGUGCGGGAUGAAGGCCUUCGGGUUGUAAACCGCUUUCGCCUGUGACGAAGCGUGAGUGACGGUAAUGGGUAAAGAAGCACCGGCUAACUACGUG
rnacentral:rRNA from 1 species